GCCCGCUGCCCCGAAGAAGUGCACUGGGGCACGGUGUGCUCGGGCGAGCUAGAGCCCGAGAGCGUCGGCCGCAGCGUCAUCGCCGGCGCCGACUGCGAGAUGGCGCUCAAGAUCAAGUUCACUACCCAUGAUAUUGGAUGGUCAGGGGACAUACCCCUGAAGGAGUGUCCUAAAGAAAAUGUUCCCUGGUUAGUCAAAGUGCCGAGCCAGGGCGAAGUCCCGUACGUGUCGGUAUGGUGCCGCGUGGUGCGCGCGCGCAGCGAUGGCCGUAUCCUAGCCACUAUCUGGCCGCUGUACGUGCUGCAUUCGCAUCUG